GCAAACGCAUUAAGUAUCCCACCUGGGGAGUACGACCGCAAGGUUGAAACUCAAAGGAAUUGACGGGGGCCCGCACAAGCAGUGGAGUAUGUGGUUUAAUUCGAAGCAACGCGAAGAACCUUACCAGGGCUUGACAUAUACAGGAAUACUUAAGAGAUUAAGUAGCUCUUCGGAGCUUGUAUACAGGUGGUGCAUGGUUGUCGUCAGCUCGUGUCGUGAGAUGUUGGGUUAAGUCCCGCAACGAGCGCAACCCCUGUGAUUAGUUACCAGCACGUAAAGGUGGGAACUCUAAUCAGACUGCCGGUGAUAAAUCGGAGGAAGGUGGGGACGAUGUCAAAUCAUCAUGCCCUAUAUGCCCUGGGCUACACACGUACUACAAUGGUCGAGACAGAGGGAAGCGAAAUAGAGAUAUGGAGCAAAACCCAAAAAUCGAUCUCAGUUCGGAUUGAAGGCUGAAAUUCGCCUACAUGAAGCCGGAAUUGCUAGUAAUGGCAGGUCAGCAUACUGCCGUGAAUACGUUCCCGGGCCUUGUACACACCGCCCGUCACACCAUGGGAGUUGGGAAUACCCGAAGCCUGUGAGCCAACGAAAGAGGCAGCAGUCGAAGGUAGAAUCAAUGAUUGGGGUGAAGUCGUAACAAGGUAACCGUA
rnacentral:rRNA from 1 species